UACGUAGGGACCGAGCGUUGUCCGGAAUCAUUGGGCGUAAAGAGCGUGUAGGCGGCUUGUUAAGUCUUGCGUGAAAUCUCGGGGCUCAACCCCGAGCGGUCGUGAGAAACUGGCAGGCUAGAGUGCGGGAGAGGAGAGUGGAAUUCCUGGUGUAGCGGUGAAAUGCGCAGAUAUCAGGAAGAACACCGGUGGCGAAGGCGGGUCUCUGGGCAGUAACUGACGCUGAGGAGCGAAAGCGUGGGGAGCGAACAGG
rnacentral:rRNA from 1 species